GCGCUAGUAGCUCACCGGUAGAGCACUCGGCUUUUAACCGAUUGGCAGUGGGUUCAAUUCCCACCUGGCGCA
rfam:Candidatus Melainabacteria bacterium RIFCSPLOWO2_12_FTLL_35_11 rifcsplowo2_12_scaffold_148, whole genome shotgun sequence.